CUCUCGGCAACGGAUAUCUAGGCUCUCGCAUCGAUGAAGAACGUAGCGAAAUGCGAUACUUGGUGUGAAUUGCAAAAUCCCGCGAAUCAUCGAGUUUUUGAACGCAAGUUGCGCCCGAAGCCACUCGGCCGAGGGCACGUCUGCCUGGGCGUCACGCACCGUUGCC
rnacentral:rRNA from 1 species